GCCCGGCUAGCUCAAUCGGUAGAGCGUGAGACUCUUAAUCUCAAGGUUGUGGGUUCGACCCCCCACGUCGGGC
rnacentral:tRNA from 1 species